UACGAAGGGGGCUAGCGUUGCUCGGAAUCACUGGGGCGUAAAGCGCACGUAGGCGGGUCUUUAAGUCAGGGGUGAAAUCCCGGAGCUCAACUCCGGAACUGCCUUUGAUACUGAGGAUCUUGAGUUCGAGAGAGGUGAGUGGAACUGCGAGUGUAGAGGUGAAAUUCGUAGAUAUUGCAAGAACACCAGUGGCGAAGGCGGCUCACUGGCUCGAUACUGACGCUGAGGUGCGAAAGCGUGGGGAGCAAACAGG
rnacentral:rRNA from 1 species